rnacentral:rRNA from 1 species
AGAGUUUGAUCAUGGCUCAGAAUUAACGCUGGCGGCAUGCCUAACACAUGCAAGUCGAGCGAGAAACCGCCCUUCGGGGUGGGAGUACAGCGGCGCACGGGUGAGUAGCGCGUGGGUAAUCUACCUCUAUCUGGGGGAUAACACACCGAAAGGUGUGCUAAUACCGCAUAAACCGGCCAACCUGCGGGGAAGUCGGGAAAGAUGGCCUCUUAAUAAAGCUGUCGGAUGGAGAUGAGCCCGCGUCCCAUUAGCUUGUUGGUAGGGUAACGGCCUACCAAGGCGACGAUGGGUAGCUGGUCUGAGAGGACGACCAGCCACACUGGAACUGGAACACGGUCCAGACUCCUACGGGAGGCAGCAGUGAGGAAUAUUGCGCAAUGGGGGAAACCCUGACGCAGCGAUGCCGCGUGGGUGAAGAAGGCUUUCGGGUCGUAAAGCCCUGUCAGGUGGGAAGAACUGUCUCUUAUUGAAUAGGUAAGAGGCUUGACGGUACCACCGAAGGAAGCACCGGCUAACUCCGUGCCAGCAGCCGCGGUAAGACGGAGGGUGCAAGCGUUAUUCGGAAUCAUUGGGCGUAAAGAGUGUGUAGGCGGCCGGUUAAGUCAGGUGUGAAAGCCCAGGGCUCAACCCUGGAAGGGCACUUGAAACUGGUCGGCUUGAGUUCGGGAGAGGGAAGCGGAAUUCCUGGUGUAGAGGUGAAAUUCGUAGAUAUCAGGAGGAACACCGGUGGCGAAGGCGGCUUCCUGGACCGAAACUGACGCUGAGACACGAAAGCGUGGGGAGCAAACAGGAUUAGAUACCCUAGUAGUCC